AAAAGACUUUUUAUCUAAAGGGAGAAUGAGGAAAGAAGAGAACUUUUAUGAGGAGUGUGAGCCUUUCCAAAUUCUCAGGCCCAGAGAGGCAUUACAUUGUGACAGCAACCACAUUCUGCUUCCUUUUUGUACAAUACUGUAUUUGAAAAACAAAAAAAAAAACCUACGAGACUCAUGAAAUUGGACAACAUUCUUUAUAACACUACUACUGGUAAAACCAGCAAGGAUGGCUGGUUUGCAGUCAUCUGAGCAGCCUCUCUAGUUUCAUAGAUGUGAUUUCUCUCUGAUAGUCAAAGGCUUCCAAUUUUAAGCAAAAUGCUACUUCACAAAGAUAAACAGCUUUGAAAGGAAACGGUUUUCUUUGUAAUCCUAAACGUUCUAGUCUGCGAAUUAAAAGCCACUAUUUGAAGACCGGCGCACAGCUUCCAGCUGGCCGCCAGAAGGGUCCUCCGCAGGACACAGGUUAAGUAGUCGCUUCUUUGGGGGAUACUAGAUGCGGGGUCUGGGCGCACCUCCGGAAAGGACAAGGGCGGGAGGGAGAGGUGGGACAGCAGACGUCACUUCCUCCGUCGGCUCCCCCAGCGGGUUGGUAGGCUGAGUGGCGGAGGGUGGGGCGGAAGAGCAGAAGGAGACUGGGAAAGGCACUGUCGGUGACAUCACCGAUAGGGCGUUUCUAUGUAGAUGAGGCAGCGCAGGGGCUGCUGCUUCGCCACGAAGGAUUUCCCGUGCCGUGGGAGCGGGUUCAGGACCGCUGGUCGGACCUGAGAGUCCCAGCUGUGGGAAGCUCAGCUGUGUAAUUUGUAGUAACGAAGCAGAAGUUACAACGAAAAGACAAGUUUUCCUGUGCUUGGCAGGGCCCCCCUCCCCCCCACCAAGGCCUGCAGUGGAUAGAGCCUAGCAGAUCCUGGACAAUACUAUCCUAAAAGCUACAUCUCUGACAGUGAUUUCCAGCGACUUUGUCAACACGGUCCGCCCCCAGCAAGUAUAAGAGGAAAAACAACAAAUGUCUUUACUGCCUUGUCUUUCCCCCUUGCCACUUGUCAUUAUUCAAGUUUUGUAAGUUCCUGAUUUCCAUUCAGUGCAGCUGCAAGGUUACCAGCUGUGCUUGCGUUGCAAGACCUGUCACAGUUUGAUUAACUGCCUUCUUUCUGCUUCUGUAAGCCCUCUUGCCUGCCCCGCGAGUUUCACACCAUCAAAUUCCUGCUGCACCAUUCAAACUAGCCAACCCCCUUUCAGAAGUGUGUAUAAAAGUCAAGCCCCCUGUCUUUCUUCGGGGCUCAUGCUAGGCCCGAGUGCAUUCAAUAAAAUCCUUCUGUUCCA